AACAUCAGAAGACCAGUAUGGAACACCAUCAUCACAGAAUUCAUCUGGAGCCAUUUGUACCUACUGGAGGCGUCAGGAUCGAUGCCAAUGCACCCCCAAGUGUGGACAGAACAUACAUACACCCCCAUUAAGCCCUAGAACCUUGUUCCACUUUGAAUUUGCCCCAUGCAAAUGUUCAUAAUCCUCCUAUCACAUGGAUAGUGAAACUGAGAUUUUCAAGGGUGCCUUUCCAGCGCAUCAUCAAGG